CGCAGCCGCGGUAAUUCCAGCUCCAAUAGCGUAUAUUAAAGUUGUUGCAGUUAAAAAGGCUCGUAGUUGAAUUUCGGGGUUAGUAGGUUGGUCAUGCCUCCGGUAUGUACUGGUCUCACUGAUUCCUCCUUCCUGAUGAGCCGUAAUGCCAUUAAUUUGGUGUUGCGGGGAAUCUGGACUGUUACUUUGAAAAAAUUAGAGUGUUUAAAGCAAGCUAACGCUUGAAUACAUUAGCAUGGAAUAAUGGAAUAGGACGUUCGAUCCUAUUUUGUUGGUUUCUAGGAUUGACGUAAUGAUUAAUAGGGAUAGUUGGGGGCAUUAGUAUUCAAUUGUCAGAGGUGAAAUUCUUGGAUUUAUUGAAGACUAACUACUGCGAAAGCAUUUGCCAAGGAUGUUUUCAUUAAUCAAGAACGAAAGUUAGGGGGAUCGAAGACGAUCAGAUACCGUCGUAGUCUUAACCAUAAACUAUGCCGACUAGGGAUCGGAUGAUGUUAAUUUUUUAAUGACUCAUUCGGCGCCU
rnacentral:rRNA from 1 species